rnacentral:lncRNA from 15 species
UACAUAUAUAAAAGUAAAAGUUAAAAUAAAAAUGGAAAUACAAAUACAAUACGAGCCUAAGAGAUAUAAUAAGAUAAUAAGAGCCUAUGCACAAAGUAAAUGUAAGCAUAUUCCACAGUACGUGCUGAAUAUUUAUAGAGAAAGAAAAAAAACAACAUAAAAAAUAAAUAAAUAAAUAAAUAAUAGCAAUAUUAGACAUUAGAAUAUGGACAAUAAUUAGAUACGAAUAUAAGAAUAAGAUCACAUCCAUACCUCCAUUAAACAGUCUACCUGAUUAUAACCGAGAGAGAGAGAGAGAGAGAGAGAGAGAGAGAGAGAGUGAGAGAGAGAGAGAGAGUGAGUGAGUGGUGACGUAAGCAACAGGUUGGUCGGAGCCGCUCGCGGACCUGCUCACUGGCGCCUCGUGCCUGCAGUUCUCCUCCCCUCCUCUCGCUCAGCCGGAGCGCGUGCUGGUACUGUACAUCCCCGUGUCCUCACGCAGGCAGCAGCACUUGGAGCUCGAGAGGCUGCACUGCUGCACGAGACUACUGCAGCAUAUAGUGCUCGUGCGUCAGAACCGUAUUUAACAUUUAAAGUGAAAAUAAGAAGACGGAGUAAACGGACGCUCGAGCCUCAAACAAACGUCAUUUACAGGUUAAGGGAGGGAGUGGUCCUGCCUUUUUUCACUCUAUCCUCUCUCUCUCCUGUCCCUUCCUCAUCCUCCUCUUCUCCCCCCCUCUCUCUCUCCCACUGUCACUCUCUCUCUCACUCUCUCUCUCUCUCUCUCUGUGAUGCCGGGCUGUGGGUGAGUGUACGCCCGUGACCAGACUGAAGCUGGGGAAGCUAAAGGUGGUGCGGCGGCAGCUGCUGCAAAGGUACAGAACAAUACACUAUCACCAGUGAUGAUACUUAGAGCUCAAUGUAAAGAAAGUUGAUUUUCUGAUAUGUAUAAUGGCUUUUACAGACAUUCUGAUAACUAUCAUAAUGAAUGACUUUGCUCACAUUAAUGGUUGCUGUGGAAACUGCUGCAGUAACUAUGAAG